CUCUCCAAACUGUGACCACCCGUGCGAAUACAAAUGUGCGACAUAAAUUAAUACCGUCCGCAGGCCCGCUUCCUCGUCGAAACCCUCGAAGCCCCAAAACCGAACGCUUGUACCUGGUCCACACCGAGCGGGCGAGCGGAACCGACUCUUCUAUCGCCGAGGAAUCAUGAGUAAGCGAUACAGUCGAACCAUCUACGUCGGCAAUCUCCCAGGGGACAUACGUGAAAGAGAGGUGGAAGAUCUGUUCCACAAGUAUGGACCAAUUAUUGAUAUUGAUCUGAAGAUUCCUCCAAGGCCUCCAGGUUAUGCAUUUAUUGAGUUUGAAGAUCCUCGUGAUGCUGAAGAUGCUAUUCGUGGUCGUGAUGGAUAUACUUUUGAUGGUCACAAAUUACGGGUGGAACUUGCUCAUGGCGGAAGGAACCAAUCGUCAUCACUUGAUAGGCAUAGAAGCUACAACAGUGGAGGUCAUCGCGGUGGUGUUUCCAGGCGCACCGAGUAUCGUGUUAUGGUCACUGGUUUACCUUCCUCGGCAUCAUGGCAAGACUUGAAGGAUCACAUGCGCCGAGCUGGUGAUGUCUGCUUUUCUGAAGUUUUUCGCAAUGGGCGAGGUACUCAUGGGAUUGUAGAUUAUACAAACUAUGAUGACAUGAAGUAUGCAAUUAAGAAGCUUGAUGACUCUGAGUUCCGGAAUGCAUUUUCACGGGCAUAUAUAAGAGUGAAGCAGUAUGAUUCGGAGAGAAGCUUGUCUAGGAGCCGAAGUCGUAGCCGCUCUUAUUCAAGAAGUGUAAGUCCAGCCGAUGGUAGGAGCCGCAGCCGAAGUCGAAGCAAGUCACCGAAGGCACAGUCAUCACGUCGUUCCUUGUCUGGUUCUCGGUCAAGAUCUGCAUCUUCUCGUUCUCGUAGCCGUUCAAUAUCAAGAUUUGGGCUUAAGCGGGAAUCUCUGGAUUGGAUAUUAGGAUCUGGAUUGGAUAUGAUGGAAAUGCUUGCAACUAUUUUGGUGUUGUAAGGUAUGCUGUUUCAUAGACGAGCAGUUUAUGAAACCUGCAGAACAUCUUGAUCUUUACCACUAACUGGGCUUUUCUGACAAGUGGGCCUCAUUGGGGGCAGAAAGGAAUGGUUGCAAUAACAAACUGGAUUACUCUAAGUGGAUUUGGCUUUGGACAAGUGCUAGGAACAACUUUUGCCACUCAUUCAUCAUCCAGUGCUAUAAGCGGCCCUCAGGAUUCUGGGUGUAGUUUCCUUGGCAGAGUUGGGCGCUGAGGCUCUGAAUGCGCUAGCAAUCGGCACAUUAGGGGAGUGCUUGCCCGGGUUCUCAGCCUGGUAUCCUGCACCUCACGGUCAUGAUAUUUAUAGUCAUGAUAGUUUUUAGGUUAAAUGUUGUCAAAUAAGUACUUGAAAAUUUGUUGCUGGCACCAACUAUAUCUCAUCAACGAGCGGAAUGUUUUUAAAAUAAGAAUUCAAUACUUUAAAAGAAGUUUGGGCCCUUUAUUCUGCUUCCCGAAUGUAUUCUGAUGCGGAAAAGACAGGCUUUUGAAUUAAGUUAAACAGCAAUAUGGAAAUUGAAUUCAGUUUUCUGGAACUUUUUGCAGAUCUCCAGUAAGAUCCAGAUCUCCAGUUACUUCUGUAAGUUAGAAUUAUAGUCUUAAUUAUCCUUUCCCUUUACUUGUUCGACUAAACUGUAUGCAUGUAGCCCCGUAAUGGCAAACCUGCAAGUAAAAGCCCUAGCGAGCAAACUCCUAGCAGCAGCCGAAGCUUAUCUCCACCUCAUAAUGACAAGCUUGCAAAUAAAAGUCCUACUAAACACAGUCCUAACAGUACCCGGAGCUUAUCUCCUGUUACUUCUCCCCGUGAUGUCAAACCUGCAAGUAAAAACACUGUUAGGAGCCAGAACGCAUCUCCAUCUUCCUCACCUGAGGCAAGAUCUGAUUAGAAUGCCCAGUACUCGUUAAGGUGAAGUUAUGUGGAAGGAACACGCUGAUGCUGAUUUUAAAGUUUUUUAAGUAUCGGAUUAGCGGCAAUACUGUCUGGCCAUGGACUUUCUGUUUGCCGUUGUACUCUUAUCUAAUAUGCACUGUUUGGUCAUCCGUAGACACCGAGACUUGAGUUUGAAUGUUCCUGACUUGUAUACUCUUAUUAUUGAAUUUUAAAAUGUUUAUUAUAA